AUAGGAGAGAGUUGGUAAUCUUUAGAAAGUAACACACCAUGUAUUUACUCCCUCACAGGCAUAAGAGGAAUAAAUGAACGUGCAGGUAGUAGGGAAUGGACACUAGGAAGGAGGAGGAGAACAUUCACACACUUUGAACACAGAGACGUACCUACACCCUGGUGAAGUCUCUUAACUUGUUUUCAGUCACUUAGCCACAUGAAGUUUCCCCAUCUCCACCUUUGCCAUUGUGAUGAGCACAUGAGAGGAGGGAAAAAGUAUCUUCAUUCUCCCCAUUUAUUCACUCAACAAAUAUUCUUGAGCACCCACCACAGCGCUGUGCCUAGGUAGCACUGUAUUAGGCACAGAGCAUCUGGGAAAACUGUUCAAGUUCCCUCCACCCCACCCCUACCACCACCACCAAUCAUGACUUACAAUAUGCCUCUUGGUCCUGAAUCCCAAAACAGUAUAAUAACAAAAAUAUCCCACUAGCUUUUUUCCCCCCUUUUAGUAAGUUCCCUUUCAUUAAAAUUCAAAACUUCUAUUUCAGAUUAUCUGCCCUAAGCACACCUUCUACUGUGGAAAUCUUUAAUCCUUCAAUUAAAGUUUCUAGUAAUAGAGAGAUUAGGUCAAAAAAGUAUCUUCUUUAGUUGACCCAGAACCAAACAUUGUUCUUAAUACUUUUCAAUCACCUGCUUACACUUUUAUUUCUAAAACAUUGGUUAUAUUAUGUACCUAUCACCUCCAGCUUAUGUCAUAGUAGAAAGUAUAUGGAAACCAGUUAGAACUUCAGCUCUAUAAUUUAUGAGCUGUUGGAUCAGUCUCCUUAUUUAGUCUCUCAAAGCCUCAUUUUCCUCAUCUGUCAAAUGGAAAGAACACCUAAUUUAAAGGAUUUCAUGAGGAUCAAAAUCAAUCCUGGCAGUAAAGGCUUAAGCCAUGCCUGACACACAGUACACACUUAACUGUAGGUUCUUUUCACCUUUCUUGCCCAGAAUCACUGUUCAUUCAUUCAUCAAAUUCACACUGAUGCUUAAAUUGUGCAAGGCACUGCUUCAGGCCCUAAGGAUGUAAAAUGGGUAAGUAGGACAAUGUACCUAGUGUUAUGCAGCUUCUAUUCUAAUGGGAGGAGACAGGCAGUGAAUGAAUAAAAAGAUAGCAGCCAGUGAUAAAUUCUAGAAUUAAAAUUAAGCAGGAAAUAAGUGGCGAAGGGGGACAGUGUCUGCUUUAUGCUGAGUGAUCAGAGAGGCCCUUUCUGGGAAGGUGAAGUUGAGCUGAGACAUAAAUGACUUGUAAAUGAGUAAAGUCAACUGAAUAUCUGGAAGAAGAGCUCUCUAGAAAGGGGGCACAGCUAGUGAGAGCCCUCAGGAAGGAAUGGACUUGGAGGAUUUUAUCCAAGGGGUGGGACACUGGUGGGCAAAGGCCCAACCAUUGUGGGCUGCUUGGUCAGAGUAAAGAGCUUAUAUUUUCUUCUCAGUGCAAUGAGGAGCCUGUGGAGAAUUUAAACCAAAGAAGGAACAGGAUCUAAACUAUGUGAGUCUGAACCACCUGGAAGAGUAGGCUAACAAGAGAAAAGGGAGGGGAAUCAUUUUGGAGGCUACUGCAGUCACGCAGGUGAGAGAUGUGGAGACCUGGAGCACCAUGGAGGCCAUAGGAAUGAAAGAUAAACAGGUGCUGGAGAGAUGUCAAAGUAACAAUCUACAGAUUUGCGACUGGAUCAAAAGGAGGGGGAAAGCAAGGGGCUGAGAUGUAUCCCUAGGACUUGAUUAGACAGAGGUGCCAUUUACCAAGAUUGAGAACACAAAGGAAGGAAUAUAUUUAUGGGAGAAUAUCAAGAUUUCAGUGCUGGACAUUAAAAGUUUGAGAUACCUCUUAAACAUCUAAGGGAAUAUGACUACAAGAUAAUAUAUAUAUAUAACUAAAUAUAUGAGUGAGGAUUUCAGAAGAUGGACCAGGGCUUAAGAAAUAAAAGUAUGAAGUUGAAAGAAAUUACCCUAAUGAUAGUAUUUAAAGCCACAGAACUGGAUGAGAUUCCCAAGGAUGUUGACGGAGAAAAAGGGUCAAAGUUCAGGACUUGGGGCCAAACAAUACAUAGGAGUCCAGGUGAGGAUUCUAAGGAAGAAAGCCAGUAUAGAAAAACCAAGAGAGUAUGAAAUUAAAAUGCCAAGAGAGUGUUAAGCAACGAGGGUAUGAUUUACAAUUGCUAGAGUCACCGGGCGGGCUUCACAAGUACCCCAUUAUCAGCAAACCAGUAUUACGCCCAAUCACCAACCUGUCAACCUCACGAACCAUUUCAGCACCCACUCCUCAGAUUUAUCAGUGUUAUGGGUUGCAUUGUGUCAACAAAAUAAGUUAUGUUGGAGUCCUAACCCCGGUACCUCAGAAUGCAACCUAAUUUAGAGAUAGGGUCUUUACAGAGGUAAUUGAGUUAAAUGAGGCCAUCAGGGUGGGCCUUAAUUCAAUAUGACUAGUGUCUUAUAAAAAGAGGACACAGAGACACACACACCCAGGGAGAUCACCAUGUGAAAAUGAAGGCAGAGAACAGGGUGAUGGAACGGAAGCCAAGGAACACUGAAGAUCGUCGGCAAACCACCGGAAGCUGGGAGCCAGGCAAGCACAGACUCCGUCACAGCCUCAUGGACCAAGGAAGUGACAUCUUGAUUGUAGACUUCUACUCAGAAUUCUGAGACAAUAAAUUUCUGCUUCUACUUAAUCCUAGUUCCUCCUACUCCGUUACAUCGACACGGCCCACUUUGACUACUGCAACCUCACAUUGGUCACUACCUCACCUGGGAUUCUUCAGAAAAUCCAACUGGAUCUGUCCAUUAGGUGCCCCCCAAUCUAGUUGGCUGUGGCUACCUAUUGAGUUGUAAGGAACUAAAUAUGGCAACCCACUCAGGGCAGCCACAGAGAAUGAUGCCUAGUAGGCGAAGUAUCACCUUUGUUUUUGACAGAAAAACUGUCUACUGAUCACUUCUGUCACAGAUAAGCCUGCCAGCCAAGACUCCACCCCUCCCUGGCCCAUGCCUGAGCAUAUGAUGCCCCUGGUGUAAUAAUGCUCACGCACGCUGUGUGUCUCUGUGUGAUGGCAGUAGCUGAUUGCAAGUGAAUAAAUGAGAAUCUUGUCUGGCUCCUCCAAGAGAAGACAAAUGGGCCGGAGUUGCAGGGCAUAUCUGAUCGAAAUGGAACCCAAACAUCCAGGCAUCAGAAGGAGGCAAGAGACAGAGAACUACAUAGUUCUGCGAAGCUCAGCAGAGACCUGCCCCUUUAGUAAACCAGAGGUCUCCAUCUGUGUUUGGAGUAAAAGCUGGAAACCAGAAAAGAGAAGCUGCUUUGGUAAAAGUCAAAAGGAACUCAGCCUAGGCCAGGGGUAAGCUUGCACUUGAACUAGAAAGAGAAUCUCAAUUUUUCCCAGGAGAAAAGGAGAGAAAUGCUGAGAUACAGCAAGACUGGGCUCACUGUGCCAGGCUAAGACAUCUUGCUCAGAGCACAUGAAGUCUCUGUAUCAGACUUAUGUAGUCACCAAACAGUGAACCAGGCUCUGCAAUAAAUACCUGCAUUUGCAGGCCUGAAUACAUAACGGUGUUUAGAAAGCAAGUCAUCUAACAAUUUCUUUUUUUCAAAGGUGGCUCUAUUCCAAAUAAAGUAUUUAAAUGAUA